UACGAAGGGGGCUAGCGUUGUUCGGAAUUACUGGGCGUAAAGCGCGUGUAGGCGGACCGUUAAGUCGGGGGUGAAAGCCCAGAGCUCAACUCUGGAAUUGCCUUCGAUACUGGCGGUCUGGACCCAAGUAGAGGCGAGUGGAAUUACGAGUGUAGAGGUGAAAUUCGUAGAUAUUCGUAGGAACACCAGUGGCGAAGGCGACUCGCUGGACUUGUGGUGACGCUGAGACGCGAAAGCGUGGGGAGCAAACAGG
rnacentral:rRNA from 2 species